rnacentral:rRNA from 1 species
UACGGAGGGUGCAAGCGUUGUUCGGAAUUACUGGGCGUAAAGCGCACGUAGGCGGGCUAAGAAGUCGGUUGUGAAAGCCCAGAGCUCAACUCUGGAAUUGCAGCCGAAACCAUUAGUCUUGAAUGCCUGAGAGGAUGGCGGAAUUCCUGGUGUAGAGGUGAAAUUCGUAGAGAUCAGGAGGAACAUCGGAGGCGAAGGCGGCCGGCUGGGGCCAUUCUGACGCUGAGGCGCGAAAGCGUGGGGAGCAAACAGG